rnacentral:rRNA from 1 species
CCUACGGGAGGCAGCAGUGAGGAAUAUUGGUCAAUGGACGCAAGUCUGAACCAGCCAUGCCGCGUGCAGGAUGACGGCCCUAUGAGUUGUAAACUGCUUUUGUACGAGGGUAAACGCAGAUACGCGUACCUGUCUGAAUGUAUCGUACGAAUAAGGAUCGGCUAACUCCGUGCCAGCAGCCGCGGUAAUACGGAGGAUUCAAGCGUUAUCCGGAUUUAUUGGGUGUAAGGGGUGCGUAGGCGGUCGGAUAAGUCAGAGGUGAAAGCCCGAGGCUCAACUUCGGAAUUGCAUUUGAUACUGGUAGGCUAGAGAGUAGUUGAGGUAGGCGGAAUGUAUGGUGUAGCGGUGAAAUGCUUAGAGAUCAUACAGAACACCGAUUGCGAAGGCAGCUUACCAAGCUACUACUGACGUUGAGGCACGAAAGCGUGGGGAGCAAACAGGAUUAGAUACCCUAGUAGUC